rnacentral:tRNA from 1 species
GAUUGUAGCUCAGUGGUAGAGUGCUUGCCUAGCACGUGUGAGGCACUGGGUUCAAUUCUCAGCAACA